UUGUUGAAAAGAGGUCUGAGAAAGGCUUCAAUUUAUACUUACAAGCUGUGAUAGAUAGUACAUCAAUUACGAAAUGAAGGUCAAGAAAUUUGGAUGGAAAAGCAAUUAGAUCUUGCCACGUGGCCCGAGCUUUGGUGGAAGUUGAGGCCCUUUCUUGAUUGGUAGGAUAUCCCCUGAUGCAGUUGAACUGAAGUAAGCGAGAGUUGAGCCACCUCCCAAAAUCAAGAACUUGAGCAACAGACCUCUCUUUGUGAAAGGAGCAGCAAAUGUCUCAAAGAACUUGCUCUACAAAAUACAAAAGCAAUAGGAGGGACAGUUAUAACUCAGUAUGUGAGAAGUAAAUCAAUAUGGAACAUUUUAAUAGAGAAUGUGGGAUGUUUAUACGGGAAGAAAGGCAAAUAAUACCUGAAGGGAGUUGUAGGGUGAAGGUGCAUCUGAUCCAUACAAGUCCCACUGACCAGUGGUGUUGCCCAAAUCCUCCAAGUCAAAAUAUACACUCUUGUCACCAUAUUUUGCAACCACAGCACCAGCCCUACACAAACAUAUAAUCAGUCAAAAAAGAAGCACAACAACAACAUGCUAGUCCAUCACUUUAAUCUUUAGUAUCUGUCUUAAACGCCUCAGAUGAAUAGAAUGACAUUUCUUAAGACCCUAAUUAGCUGAACUGAUUCAAUCUCUAAACUUUGCCACUUUAACCAAACUAAAUCCGGGUUGACAUACCAAAAACUACCCUUAACAAAGGCGAAUCCAUGAUUUAGAAUCAAUAGUUCAGAAUGAUUGUGAUCUAGUUAUUAUAUACAUACAUUUUAAUUUUUCUUCUUUCUUUCAUAUGUACAUAUAGUUUGAACCGGUGGUGGAAGUAGAAUUUUCAUCGAGGAGACUCAAAAAAUAAAAAAAGUAAACACCCGAAGAAACUAAGGAAAUUGAAAAAAAUUAAAUUAAAUACACACUGUAAUGUUUUGGAAAUGUGGCACUCCGUAUUCAAUGACUUAAAAAUCCGAGAUCCUUAUUUGGAGGUCGUUAAUAGCUAGUAGAUUACCUGGAUUUAGAGGGCUUCAAAUUGAGGCGAGAUGAUUUAACAUGAAGCUUUGUUCCAGCAAUGGAGCUACCAGCUAGGCCCUUGAUUGUGGUGGUGGGCUG
rnacentral:lncRNA from 1 species